rnacentral:lncRNA from 1 species
UAUUACUAAUCAUGUUAAAAAUUUUAAAUCAACAUUAUUAUUUUUCCCUUAAAUAAAAGAAGCCAUGAAACAUUGUUUUGUAACUACGGAAACGAAGUACAUAAUUUUAAAUUGUCAAACUUGACGAGUGAAAAGUUUAUUUGUGGCGUCUUUCCAAAGUGUUGAUUUUUUAACGUUUUAAAAAGCCAAAGUAACGUGUAAAAUGAUGAGUGAUGAUGACUGUUCCAUUUCUGAAACCCUCUCAGAACUCACGGAGGCAGUGAAUGCUGCAUCAUUGGAAUUGUUACCAAUAAAAUCUAGAAAUAAGUAUAACUAUGCAUACAACCGCUUCAUGGACUACCGUACGAAUAAAAAUGUAACUUCUUUCUCGGAAAAUGUUGUAAUGGCAUACUUCUUGGAGCUUGGUUCCAAGAUGAAUUCUUCAACUUUAUAGGCCAAUUAUUCAAUGCUGAAGGCAACCCUUGCAAUUAGACAUGAUGUGGAUAUAUCUGAAUAUUCAAAACUUCGGGCAUUCCUGAAACAACAAGCACAUGCCUAUAAGCCAAAAAAUCCAAGAUUUUAACUAAAGAAGAAAUAAACAAAUUUAUUCAGGAAGCUCCAGAUAAGGAAUAUUUAAUGAUUAAGGUAGCUGUAAUAUUUGGAAUUUCCGGAGCUUGCAGAAUGGACGAGCUGGUUAAAAUGACUGUACAAGAUAUACAAGACCUACUAUCUAAACUUUUAGUUACCAUACCGGAUUCAAAAACCAAUACAUCAAGAUCAUUUAUAGUAAUAGUUAUUGUCAUACAAAUAAAAUUAUUUGUUUGAAAAAUAUUCAACAAAAUAAUGCUAUUAGUUCCCAAGUUCUUCCAGUUUUCAAUACUUGUACUAAUUGUCAAAUAACAGUAAAUAUAACAAAUAAUAAGUAAUAAUUUUAAAAUAUAAUGUUAACCUUGUUUGUGCUGAAAGUUUUAAAAAUAAAAUUGUUUAGGAAAAA